GCCGGGCGUGGUGGCGCAUGCUUGUAAUCCCAGCUACUCGGGAGGCUGAGGCAGAAGAAUCGCUUGAACCCGGGAGGCAGAGGUUGCAGUGAGCUGAGAUAGUGCCAUUGCACUCCAGCCUGGGCGACAGAGCGAAACUCUGUCUCUA
rnacentral:SRP_RNA from 1 species